AGCUACGCAGUGUUCACAAAGCGAAUUAUUCUUUCGCCUUUUACUAAAGAAUACCGUGUGGACAUUACUUAAAAUGGCAUGUGCCAAUUUUUGAAGGGUCCUUCCCGUUUAAGGAGAG